CAGUAGCCGCGGUAAGACAGAGGAUGCAAGCGUUAUCCGGAAUGAUUGGGCGUAAAGCGUCUGUAGGUGGCUUUUCAAGUCCGCCGUCAAAUCCCAGGGCUCAACCCUGGACAGGCGGUGGAAGCUACCAAGCUGGAGUACGGUAGGGGCAGAGGGAAUUUCCGGUGUAGCGGUGAAAUGCGUAGAGAUGUGGAGGAACACCAGUGGCGAAGGCGACUCUCUGGUCUGUAACUGACGCUGAGGAGCGAAAGCGUGGGGAGCGAACAGGAUUAGAUACCCGAGUAGUCCCUGUCUCUUAUAA
rnacentral:rRNA from 1 species